rnacentral:lncRNA from 1 species
GCUCAUUCAGGUUGUUGUCAGAAUUCAAUUCCUUGCAGAUGUGGGGAUGAGGUCCCUAGUUCCUUGCUGAUGGUCAUACACGAACAAUGUUUAGCUCCUACCUCAUAGAGCCCUCCUUUGGAUACUUUCCACAUGGCCCCUACAGCCCAUCGAAUCCUUCCUCCAGUGGAAACUUUGCUGUCCCCUCUGCCACAUUUCCUCAGUCUGCCUGUUCUGUAACAUCUCUCUUACUCGAGUCAGAGAUUCUCUGAUUCCCCUGCUCCUCAUGGUGCUGGGGAUAGAACUUGGCCUCAUAUAUUCUAGGUCAGCACUCUACCUCUGGGCAACACUCCCAUACCCUGGGUCUCCUCUUCUAAGGAUUUCUGAAUCUCACUGGGCCAUGCAGACCAUGCAAGGUAAUUUCCCUAUUUUCAGGUCCUUAACCUUAACUACAUCAGUAAUGUCCCUUCUGUCAUGUGAUGCUACCUAUUCACAGUUCCAAGAAUUAGGGCCUGAACAUGUUUGGGGACCUUUCUUCAGUCACCACAUUUUGCCGCAGUCUGGCUGGGCACAAAAUAACCAAGCUGCCACACAGCCUUGUAGGUUCAAACAGCAACCUUUAUUCCCGAACUCUCACCCACCCUCUACACACACUUCCCAGGAACACACUCCCUCCACCAGGCAAAACCCGGGAGAACUCAAGGGGAACUCCUAAAUUGCAGGUGCCUGAGGCAUCAGGAUCUGCCCUAAUCCCAGCAGGAUCUGCCCUAAUCCUGGAGCCAAUCACCUUUCAACCAUUCCCUCUGGCAAAAAUGCCAGGCAUCAUUCUGACUAAACUUUGGCUCUCAACAACAUUUUAUUGUGUUAAAAUCACUGAAGAUCAAGGACACAGCAUUGCUGGAGAAAAUGAUGGGGAGCCAAGAGUAAAGAGUCCAAAAUAGGGUGAUAGCCUGGGGUCUCCUGGGAAUAGUAGUCUCCUGGGGGCUCUAGUCUGAUGACAGGUAAGGAAUGUCAGUGAGGGGACUGUAGAAAAGUCUGAGAACUUCCAAUAGGUGCAAGGACCCAACCACAGCUUCUGGUCCUAGGGAAACACUCCCACAGUACAGGACUUCAGAGGGGCCACGUUCUGUUAAAGCCACGAGGUGAGGAAUAUCCUGAGAGGACUUUCGAGGUUUUGUUAGUCCUGAGCUGAGAAUUCCAGAAGAUGCAGUGGAAAGUUUCCAGGAGGUGAGGAGGAGGUGUAAGAGGAGACAAAAGAGGGGUCUGCAGAGCUUAGAGAGGAUGAAAGUACAGGACAUUGAGGGGACCUGGUGUGACUGAUGGAACAGUUCAGUGGAGUCACUGCUGUGCCUCUUGGUGGAAGCAUUUCACUUUGGGAGCUAAAAACUCUAGGCCAGCAGGGCAUGAGGUCACCAGACAGGAAGCACACACUUUGCUAGUGGGACACUGGGGGCCACUGUGAGAGCUGCCACUCCCAUUCCCAUCCCUUGAUUCCUGGAUCCAGGA